AGAGUUUGAUCAUGGCUCAGAACGAACGCUGGCGGCACGCCUAACACAUGCAAGUCGAGCGCUACCUUCGGGUGGAGCGGCGGACGGGUUAGUAACGCGUGGGAACAUGCCCUUCUCUAAGGAAUAGCCUCGGGAAACUGAGAGUAAUACCUUAUACGCCCUUCGGGGGAAAGAUUUAUCGGAGAAGGAUUGGCCCGCGUUAGAUUAGAUAGUUGGUGGGGUAACGGCCUACCAAGUCGACGAUCUAUAGCUGGUUGAGAGGAUGAUCA
rnacentral:rRNA from 1 species